CCCCGCUCGACAACAGUGGGGAAGAGGGCAAUGAUGA
rnacentral:ribozyme from 1 species